rnacentral:rRNA from 1 species
GUCGAACGGCAGCGCGUGGAGCAAUCCUGGCGGCGAGUGGCGAACGGGUGAGUAAUACAUCGGAACGUGUCCUGUAGUGGGGGAUAGCCCGGCGAAAGCCGGAUUAAUACCGCAUACGAUCUACGGAUGAAAGCGGGGGAUCGCAAGACCUCGCGCUAUAGGGGCGGCCGAUGGCGGAUUAGCUAGUUGGUGGGGUAAAGGCCCACCAAGGCGACGAUCCGUAGCUGGUCUGAGAGGACGACCAGCCACACUGGGACUGAGACACGGCCCAGACUCCUACGGGAGGCAGCAGUGGGGAAUUUUGGACAAUGGGCGCAAGCCUGAUCCAGCAAUGCCGCGUGUGUGAAGAAGGCCUUCGGGUUGUAAAGCACUUUUGUCCGGAAAGAAAUCCUCUGGGUUAAUACCCCGGGGGGAUGACGGUACCGGAAGAAUAAGCACCGGCUAACUACGUGCCAGCAGCCGCGGUAAUACGUAGGGUGCGAGCGUUAAUCGGAAUUACUGGGCGUUAAGCGUGCGCAGGCGGUGAUGUAAGACCGAUGUGAAAUCCCCGGGCU